rnacentral:tRNA from 1 species
GUGGGUGUAGUGUAGUGGCAGCACGCGUAAUGGCCGUCUCCGAUAAUUUAUCCCAGCUGGGGUCGGAAGGUAGAUGGUUAUCGCAAUUCCAAGGCCGAGGCCCUGGUUCGAAUCCAGGCACCCACA